CUGAGGUGUCUGCGGUAGUCUGAGGUGCCUGGUGUGAGGCCUCUGUACACAGCACCUUGUGAGCAACUGAAACUAGAUGAAGCACAAAGGAAACAAAUGGAAACCAAAAGGGUUCCAAUUGAUUCCAGAGGUUGGAACAGCAUUGAGUCUGAAGCAUGUGCCUAAAUGACACCAGCAGAGAGGACUGGAAGUCUUUAUGGACAGAGGGGUUGG